AAGUCGUAACAAGGUUUCCGUAGGUGAACCUGCGGAAGGAUCAUUACAGAGUUCAUGCCCGAAAGGGUAGACCUCCCACCCUUGUGUAUUAUUACUUUGUUGCUUUGGCGAGCUGCCUCGGGCCUUGCAUGCUCGCCAGAGAAAACCAAAACUCUUUUAUUAAUGUCGCCUGAGUACUAUAUAAUAGUUAAAA
rnacentral:misc_RNA from 1 species